rnacentral:rRNA from 2 species
UUUAUGGAGAGUUUGAUCCUGGCUCAGGAUGAACGCUGGCGGCGUGCCUAAUACAUGCAAGUCGAGCGAACAGAU